rnacentral:lncRNA from 1 species
UAUUUAAGCUGGUUUUAAGGAUCAUUCAAUGUGAAACCCCAGUUAGUUCUAUGUAUAAGAUUAAAAGGGUUAAACUCUUAAUGCGGUUUAAACAUUUUGGGUGGUGGUUAGGUCCAAGAUAUUAAAAGAUAGAGUUAAGCGUGUUAGGACGGGAGUAGUCCUAGUCCUAGGAUGGAUGACUCCCUGAAAAGUUGGGGCGUCAUCGUUGGUAUAAGAGAUAAUUACCAGCUGGAAUUAUGAGAUGAGUCUCGGCUGAGUUAGAAUUAUACAGCGGGGAGAACGAAACUCUCAUAUUAUUGACUGUUGUGGGUAAGGCGCAGCUCCCCCAUAAGGUUGGUUUAGGCUAGCGAGACAAGUCUCACAUCGCCUGAUACUUAUAAAUCUGAGUCUGACGAGGACGUCAAGGCUUAAAAGGGAGGGAUUGUGAAAUCCCAGAUAGUCCUAUGUAUAAGAUAUAACAGAGCUAAACUCUUAACCCGAUUUAAGCAUUUUGGGUAAUGGUUAGGCUCAAAAGGUUAAAAGAGUUAAGCGUGUUAGGACGAAAGUUGUCCUAGAAUGAAUGAUCCCCUAAAAAGUUGGGACGUCACAUCCUACUUUGU